UACAGAGGGGGCGAGCGUUGUUCGGAAUUACUGGGCGUAAAGGGCGCGUAGGCGGCCAACUAAGUCAGGGGUGAAAUCCUGGAGCUCAACUCCAGAACUGCCUUUGAUACUGAAGAUCUUGAGUCCGGGAGAGGUGAGUGGAACUGCGAGUGUAGAGGUGAAAUUCGUAGAUAUUCGCAAGAACACCAGUGGCGAAGGCGGCUCACUGGCCCGGUACUGACGCUGAGGCACGAAAGCGUGGGGAGCAAACAGG
rnacentral:rRNA from 1 species